GUCUUGUAGCGCAAUGGAUAGCCCGUUAGACUUCUAAUCUAAAGGUCGUGGUCUCGAAUCCCACCUGAGAUG
rnacentral:tRNA from 1 species